UACGUAGGGGGCAAGCGUUGUCCGGAAUCAUUGGGCGUAAAGAGCGUGUAGGCGGCCAGAAAAGUCCGCUGUGAAAACUCGAGGCUCAACUUCGAGCUGUCGGUGGAAACUUUCUGGCUAGAGUCCGGAAGAGGAGAAUGGAAUUCCUGGUGUAGCGGUGAAAUGCGCAGAUAUCAGGAAGAACACCCGUGGCGAAGGCGGUUCUCUGGGACGGUACUGACGCUGAGACGCGAAAGCGUGGGGAGCGAACGGG
rnacentral:rRNA from 1 species